rnacentral:rRNA from 1 species
CGGAGGAUCAUUCUGAGUUACGCUCUACAACCCUUUGUGAACAUACCUAUAACUGUUGCUUCGGCGGGUAGGGUCUCCGUGACCCUCCCGGCCUCCCGCCCCCGGGCGGGUCGGCGCCCGCCGGAGGAUAACCAAACUCUGAUUUAACGACGUUUCUUCUGAGUGGUACAAGCAAAUAAUCAAAACUUUUAACAACGGAUCUCUUGGUUCUGGCAUCGAUGAAGAACGCAGCGAAAUGCGAUAAGUAAUGUGAAUUGCAGAAUUCAGUGAAUCAUCGAAUCUUUGAACGCACAUUGCGCCCGCCAGCAUUCUGGCGGGCAUGCCUGUUCGAGCGUCAUUUCAACCCUCAAGCUCUGCUUGGUGUUGGGGCCCUACAGCUGAUGUAGGCCCUCAAAGGUAGUGGCGGACCCUCCCGGAGCCUCCUUUGCGUAGUAACUUUACGUCUCGCACUGGGAUCCGGAGGGACUCUUGCCGUAAAACCCCCAAUUUUCCAAAGGUUGACCUCGGAUCAGGUAGGAAUACCCGCUGAACUUAAGCAUAUCAAUAAGCGGAGGAAAAGAAACCAACAGGGAUUGCCUCAGUAACGGCGAGUGAAGCGGCAACAGCUCAAAUUUGAAAUCUGGCCCUAGGCCCGAGUUGUAAUUUGCAGAGGAUGCUUUUGGUGAGGUGCCUUCCAAGUUCCCUAGAACGGGACGCCAGAGAGGGUGAGAGCCCCGUACAGUUGGACACCAAGCCUUUGUAAAGCUCCUUCGACGAGUCGAGUAGUUUGGGAAUGCUGCUCAAAAUGGGAGGUAUAUUUCUUCUAAAGCUAAAUACCGGCCAGAGACCGAUAGCGCACAAGUAGAGUGAUCGAAAGAUGAAAAGCACUUUGAAAAGAGGGUUAAACAGCACGUGAAAUUGUUAAAAGGGAAGCGCUUGUGACCAGACUUGCGUCCGGUGAAUCACCCAGCUCUCGCGGCCGGGGCACUUCGCCGGCUCAGGCCAGCAUCAGCUCGCUGUCGGGGACAAAAGCUUCAGGAACGUAGCUCUCUUCGGGGAGUGUUAUAGCCUGUUGCAUAAUACCCUUCGGCGGGCUGAGGUACGCGU